rnacentral:rRNA from 1 species
UACGAAGGGGACUAGCGUUGUUCGGAAUUACUGGGCGUAAAGCGCACGUAGGCGGAUUUGUAAGUCAGGGGUGAAAUCCCGGGGCUCAACCUCGGAACUGCCUUUGAUACUGCAAAUCUCGAGUCCGAUAGAGGUGGGUGGAAUUCCUAGUGUAGAGGUGAAAUUCGUAGAUAUUAGGAAGAACACCGGUGGCGAAGGCGGCCCACUGGAUCGGUACUGACGCUGAGGUGCGACAGCGUGGGGAGCAAACAGG